UACAUACUAUGUAGUUACCUCAAUGGCGGGGACGUGAUGACGGUGCCACUCGUUGUGUCUGGUGUGACUGUGUGGAGUUUUGUGCUUUAUUCCGUUGGCGUGUGAUAAAAAUACGUUAGUAAUCAAUUGCAAGCCCAACUGCCAAGACACGGAGUUAAGACGCGCCUUCGCCGUUGUCGUCGCCGUUUUUAGAAUCGUUAAUUAAGUCGUUUUUGAAAAUACUCAGAAAAGUCAGAGAAAGAAAAAGAUAUUAAAAAAAAUAAUAUAAGCGAAAAAUUAUUAAUUAAAUUCUACGCGUUUAUGGAAAACCGUAAAAGAGUGUUGAAAACGUAGAAUAAUAAUAUAAUAAAUAUAUAUUAAAUUAAAAACUAUAAUACACUGCAACAACGAAGAUUGUGACAGCACGUACACAACACUUGCUAAGCGGAUAUUUUGCGGUUAUUUUCAAAUUCACGAAACCAUUGCCAAAUUCUGCAGUAGAACGCCAGUCAACCAAAGCGUUUAACGCUAAAAAUUUAUCUAAUUUAGUCAACACAAACGCUUAGUAGUGCUCAAACAGUAGCCCUGAACACGCGUCUAACCAACUGAUUUGCAGUCAACCAUCACCGCUAAUAGCGCACAGAUUUAACCAACACAUACAUACCUGCUAGCAGCUCUAAAUCAUGAGGCAACAACAGUUACUUGCAAUCACCGCCUGCCUAUGCAGCGUUGCUGUAGUGCUCGUAUCCGCGGUGCCACUGCCUGCCGGCAACCAGGAAUUAGAUGUGUUACAGAUUCCGCUUUCUGAUGGCAAGGAAUUAGACGUUCUAACACUGGGCGCCAAAGAUCAAGAACAAAUAAUCGCUGAACGAAAUAAACGAACGAUUGGUCUACUGCGUGAACUGUUCCCAGAUAUCACAAAGCAAAUCGACGGCAUAGUUAAUCGUAUAAUAGGCCAGGUAAUACGCGUUGCCGGACCCAGUCUAUUGCCCGCUUUUCUAGGCAACAAUCGCCCCACAACAGAACGUUCCGACUUCGAUGCAGAUUUCGAGGACGAAGAUGAUACUAGCAAGGAGGAGAAUAAUAGUGUUUUCAGCAAGAGUGAUACCGCUACACCCACACAAGGCACUGCAACGUCCAAUGGUAGCUCCGAUAAUGGUGGUGCCUCACGUGUAAAUAUUGUCUUGCCAACUUUGCCAUCAGAUAAUGCUGCUGCAGAUAAUGUGAGUUUUCGGCAAGGCGCCAACAACAUAGCAACAACUAGCGUUACAACAUCAACAGCAACAACGACCGCAGCAGCAAUAAUGAAAACAACUGGAAAGACAGCUAUAACUAAAAGUCCAGAGAGUACAAUUGAAAUAACAACUGCAACUCCCAGUCGGCCAAUUGAAAUUCCCAAUACUCCAACUACUACCACAAUCACCACUGUCAGCGCAGUUGCUACGACAUUUCUACCUACAACCCCACCAACGAUCCCUACAUCAACAACAUUACCCACAACAACCAUUGAUUCCAUAUUUGUUAUACCGAGAGUUAAACCUCAGCGCCCAAAUAGUGCUGCUGACAAUAAGAGCAACAACAACAAUAAUAUUCCUAAUAUAACCACAACAUCCACAACUCAAAUUCAAACAGAAAAUCCCUUCACCACAAUCACUACACCUACAACAAACAGCCCAACCAUUACGUCUACAACAAAAUCAUCACCUAUCAACUCAUCCUUAAUUUCCGAUAUUUUGAAUACAAUCACACCAGGAACUAUUGCUGCCGAAACACUGCCAACACCAACAAUGCCAGCCACCUAUCUGGGGCGAUUUGAUGGUGAAGUAGGUAUGCAACAGUUCCUGAAUCCCAACACAAUACCUAAACAACAGCAACAACAACAAAAACAACAAACACCAAUACAAACAAAUGCGUUGCCGUUGGCUGUUGGUGUUGAUCGAUCACAGCUAGUUGCUUUAGUUGAGAAUAUAAAUCGUUUAUUGAACUCACCAAAUCUUCUCAUUACUAAUAGCAAUAAUAAUAUAAAUACACCACAAUUCACGACAACAGCAACAGCAACAACAACAACAGAUACAAUAAUAACAACAACAGCAACAACGCCUUUUCAAGCAGUUUCAACACAAUCACCGACGUUAAAUUCAGCUGAAAAAAUUACAAAACUUCUACCCGUGCGCAAUUAAUUGGAAAAAUUAAAAAUAAAUUACAAUAAAUUGUAGCAACAAAGUAUGUACCACGCCAAACACUACAUACAAUAUAAGCUCAUGGUAGCAACAACUAUUUGCAACUGCAGUUGGCAUAAAAAAAUUAAAACGAGCAUAUACUGGAAAUUUCCAUUAAGUAAUCGGCUAGAAUCUGAGUAUUCACAACAACUACAUUUUAACAACUACAGUCAACAAAAUCCAAAGUAGCAACAACGUAUGAAAUCUCGAGUAAUCAGUAACUGAGUAAAUGAGUAUCGCUUUAGUACACCAUGAAUGUCAAUUUCCUCUCAACGGCAAUAUCGUAAUGUAAUAUCAAUGGUGCAACAGACACACAAAUCGAUUUAACGGCCAUAAAUAAACAACUCGAGGAGACAAUACGUGUGGCACGUCAAGUGAAGGAAGCUGAAGCAGCAGCACAAGCUAUUG